rnacentral:lncRNA from 1 species
UCAAGGUGGGCUAGCGGUAGGACGGAUUUCAGGCUGAGGGUGAAAUUCCCAAUACUCCUGGGUUCGAAUCCCCGCAGCUGCAAACAACUUGAACUGGCCACGAGAGGAUUUACAUGGGCUCCUCUCGCCCUCCAGACCACUUAGCGUAACCAGGGGCCCUUAAGUGGAGGCUUAAAAAUCCUGUCAUGGCAUGGGCUUUGGUCCGGUGGGCUAGUCGAUCGCGUUUAGUGGUCGGAUACUGGAUUAUCAAAAAAAAAAAAAAAAGAAUUAUGAAUCAUCGUUGGUACAAAAUAAUGAGAUACAAAUAGACUAUUGUUUGGUAUAUCAGCCUUUGCCAAUUUAUCUGCUGCGCGAUUUGCAUUCCUUGCCAUCCAAGAUAUGGUACAAACUUCAAAUUUUUUUAACCACCAUCUGAUUUCUCUUGUCCAAUUGUAUACACCAAAGUGUAGUUUGUUGUUGAUUAGUAUAUCCACCGCUUUUUGACAAUCAGACUCCAUUAUGAUCUUUUUGUAACCCCUGAUCCAGC